UACGUAGGGGGCAAGCGUUAUCCGGAUUUACUGGGUGUAAAGGGAGCGUAGACGGCCAGACAAGUCUGGAGUGAAAAUCCAGCGCUUAACGUUGGAAGUGCUUUGGAAACUGCCGGGCUAGAGUGCAGGAGGGGCAGGCGGAAUUCCUAGUGUAGCGGUGAAAUGCGUAGAUAUUAGGAGGAACACCAGUGGCGAAGGCGGCCUGCUGGACUGCAACUGACGUUGAGGCUCGAAGGCGUGGGGAGCAAACAGG
rnacentral:rRNA from 1 species